GAUAAUCCACGCAUACUCAACCUUCUCUAGAUAUACAGCAUGUGUACUGCCGUUGCAAGUAUACCUUUAAAAGAACAAGUAUGCCACUAUGGCUAGUAAUAGCCCACACACAUCAGGUCAAAGUGCAGCCAAUAAGAAGGUGAUGAUGGGUUACAACCCGAAAACAGAAUAUCAACUAAGAAAUUAAAAAUCUUACGAAAGUGGACUUGGCUGUAAUUAAUUUAUAAGUUAAAGAAAUGAACAAAAAUCUAAGACAUGCACACAUCGCCCGUCACUCUAUCCUAAAGGAUAGAUAAGUCGUAACAAAGUAGGUGUAAUGGAAAUUGCACCUGUCGAAGUAUAGCAUAUAUAAUGCUUUUUACUUACACUAAAAAUAAAGUUAAAUAACUUGCUUCGCACAUAUAAAUAAGCCCUUAAAUAAAAACAAUAAAAACAGUUAAAUAAUUAACAACACAAAGUACAGAAAUGGAAAAAAUAAUAAAUAAAAGUAAAUCUUAAUAAAUGUACCUUGUGCAUUAUGGUUUACAAGAAACCAAUCAAAUAGUAAUCAUUCUAAGUGAGAUGUUAAACUGCUGUUAUGAACCAUUAAUAGCUGUAUAAAAAGCUUAAAAGACAGUUUAACAGAGGCACAUACCAUCCGCACAAGAAUAUAGCUGGU
rnacentral:misc_RNA from 1 species